rnacentral:lncRNA from 1 species
UACAGCAUUUCAUCAAGUUUCCCUGUUAAAUUACCACUGGAUACCCAGGGAUAAUAUUCAGUAAAAUUAACUGAUACAUUACAUUGGUUUAAUUCACAUACUAAACUAUUAUUAUAGUUGUUACAAAUAGUCUUUGCAUCUUCACAAAAAGUAUUUUUUGAUAUAUUCAUAAAAAAUAUCUACACAAUAAUUUUUUUACGGAAAUUGAUCAUUCAUCCGGAAUGACUUUUUGGGUUCUUUUAUUAACUAAUCAAAACCAAAUUGCGGUCAAGUGACCUCACACGACUUUUCUGUUCCUCAUGUUUGGACAAUAUUUUUUGAAGUGUUUCGAGAAUUUGGAUGAUUAAUUUCUAUGUGGUUUUAAAAGCUUUGGAAAAAUAUUGCGAAAAGGUAAGUUUGAGUGUAAAUAUAUUUUUCAUAGUUGCACUUUCAGUCUUUAUUAAAUUUGUUAUUGAUUUGACCCAGAUAAGUACCGUGUCGUGACCUUCACCUGACAAAGUUUGUAAACAAUGCACACAGAUGUAGCGUACAAGUGUUGAAGUACCUAUAUAUUGACAAAGACAUACACACCUACAUAUUCAUUUAUAUCUGAAUUACCCACAUUAACAUUCAUAGUAAUAAUUAUUGUACAAACAAACUUCUGCACAUACAGUCAUACUUGUUCAGUGUCACAUGAUACAUUUUACAAACAAAUUUCUUUCAAUAACUUUCAUACAUACUCAUACCUUAGGCAUAGCACUUACAGAUAAUUACUUGCAUAGUACAUUUAUAAUAAGGGGGAAAAAAAUUACAUACAAUCACACAUAAUCUAGAUCUAUAGCAUCUGGGUUUUUUUGUAUACAUGUAGCUUAAGUUAACUAUAAAAUGACUUCAUUAUUAUUUUUCAAAAUAUUCAACACCUUUGUUAAUAAACUGCUGAUCUCUGUAUUG